rnacentral:rRNA from 1 species
CCUACGGGUGGCAGCAGUGGGGAAUAUUGGGCAAUGGGCGCAAGCCUGACCCAGCAAUGCCGCGUGAAGGAAGAAGGCUUUCGGGUUGUAAACUUCUUUGACAGGGGAAGAGCAGAAGACGGUACCCUGAAAACAAGCCACGGAUAACUACGUGCCAGCAGCCGCGGUAAUACGUAGGGGGCAAGCGUUGUCCGGAUUUACUGGGUGUAAAGGGCGUGUAGCCGGGAAGGCAAGUCAGAUGUGAAAUCUGGAGGCUCAACCUCCAAAUUGCAUUUGAAACUGUUUUUCUUGAGUACUGGAGAGGCAGAUGGAAUUCCUUGUGUAGCGGUGAAAUGCGUAGAGAUAAGGAGGAACACCAGUGGCGAAGGCGAUCUGCUGGACAGCAACUGACGGUGAGGCGCGAAAGCGUGGGGAGCAAACAGGAUUAGAUACCCGAGUAGUC